rnacentral:ncRNA from 1 species
AUCGAGGCCGCCACUCCCGCGGCCGACCGGACGAUCGAAACCGUACCCGGGCAGCGACAAGACGGUAUUCC